rnacentral:rRNA from 1 species
CCUACGGUAUGCAGCAGUGGGGAAUAUUGGACAAUGGGCGAAAGCCUGAUCCAGCCAUGCCGCGUGUGUGAAGAAGGCCUUCGGGUUGUAAAGCACUUUCAGUGGGGAAGAAAGCCUUGGGGCUAAUACCCUCGAGGAAGGACAUCACCCACAGAAGAAGCACCGGCUAACUCCGUGCCAGCAGCCGCGGUAAUACGGAGGGUGCGAGCGUUAAUCGGAAUUACUGGGCGUAAAGCGCGCGUAGGCGGUCUGAUAAGCCGGUUGUGAAAGCCCCGGGCUCAACCUGGGAACGGCAUCCGGAACUGUCAGGCUAGAGUGCAGGAGAGGAAGGUAGAAUUCCCAGUGUAGCGGUGAAAUGCGUAGAGAGCGGGAGGAAUACCAGUGGCGAAGGCGGCCUUCUGGACUGACACUGACGCUGAGGUGCGAAAGCGUGGGUAGCAAACAGGAUUAGAUACCCUAGUAGUC